UAUGUUGCUAAGUCAGUCCGACCGUUUUUUGCGAUUAUGUUGGUUUCUACUUUUUCCACUUCUUCCUUUUUUUACUUUUUCCUUUUUUGGUAUAUAUUAUAUACAUACAUAUAUUUAUAUAUAUAUAAAUAUACCCGUGGACGUAUGCAGCGCUACGUCCUUCGGAAAAUCUCCUUGCCUGGUGGAAGUGCUGUGCCAUAAAAACUCCUACAUGUACGGUACUGCACUCACUGUCUGUACUCUGCACGUACCGUAUGUAGUAUAUACGGUAGAGGGGCCGUGCCGUGCAAACUGCAAACACGCUCAUUCGUUGCCUGAGUGGUCUAACUGACAGAGAAUUCAGCAUAGCGCUAACAGGGCAAACUACAGGUGCGCAGUAUAACGGAAUUCAUAAUACCGAAUUUCAUGGUGCAAAGCGCUGGCGGCAAUAAGUCACUGCAGUAAUAGAUUCCCACUUGAUAGCUAACAUUUCCCUGUAGAGCACAUUUUUCUACACAUUGUAGUUAUGGUCUUGGUUCGGCUAACAGAUCAUUGGCUGAAUGAGCAGUGUUUGAAGUCGCUGUUUCGAACAUCUGCUUAGCGACAGAAACAGCGACUUCCGGAAGCUGGCUGGUUGUCACAAACUGCCGUCCCUGUGCGGUUGCCCUGGCGCAUACACUCAAUUCAAUUAUCGAUGACAUGUUUUCGAACACACAAUUUUGUAAUUCCAAAUUUCACGAGUGCAUACUAUGUUAUUGUGCAGAACUAUGUCUUAGUCUUGAUCUUAUUCGUGAUUUUACAGCCAAUGCACCAUCGGUGGACCCUCCAGUUGUCAAGUGACAACGUAACAGAAGCACGCGUGCGGUGGCCCAUGCCGCAGGCAUUUUUAACGUAAAUAUUUUAAAAUUUACUUACAACUUUGUUCAUUCCUGCAUUAAGUUUUUAUGUAUAGUAACAUGCAGAAUAAUACACAGUACAAAGUUUCAAAGUUUCUUAAAGUGGGCGGAAAAAUGAUUGUUCCGGUUGAAGAGAAGCUCGUCAAAAUCACACAUCUUGACAAAGAUGAACUGAAAAAGGAAAAUUCAUGUCUUGUUCGUUUGGUAGCUUAUUGGAUCCGACAUCGGAGGCUAAAGUCGUUGAACUACCGAAACCAUCGGUAAUGUCACUGAAACAUGGGUGUCGCGCUGCCAUUGUUCGUGCUGUGCGUAACCAUAUUUUAGCCGUGCAUCCGGAAGUGUGGAUGCCGCGAGCGAAUCCGAGACAGCCGGUUCGGAGCUGCGUCGACGUCCGCAGCAGCGCCUGAUAGUUCCUCUUGUCAUUGCGCAGAAUGAUGGCGAUGGGCCGAUGGCGAGCCACAGAUUAUGUUGGCUGAUCCAUUCAACUUAGCGGAACCGAACGAUAAUGGCAACGAUGCUCCGCAACCGGGUGAUUUUGAGGAUGAUCUGGACAGCGAUUCGCCAGCAAAUGGCCACAGUGAUGGAGAAACAGAAAGUGGUAACUUUGCUGAUGAACACGAGUCUGGUGAUGCUACCAGUAAACCUGCCGACGUGAACGGUGGCAGUGCUGCUGUUAUUAUUAUCAUUAUUAUUAUUAUUAUCUUCCUGGAGCAGACAACCCAUUCAUGGGACUUCGACAAUGACAUUACAGGUGUUAAAAUGACAUUGCUUUGCCUGGUCGAAAACCAAAAAUAAAAAGAAACAAGAAUGAUCAGAACAGGCUAUCCAACUAGCACUUCGAAGUCCAACACCUUUAAAGCAAACUUAAAAAACCCAACAGUUUCCGAGUUUAAAAUUUCCGCAUUAGACCUUCUGCACGUGACCAAGCAGCUGCUUCAGUCGUACAGCGAAAGUGGACUCGCCGAUCUUCUUUUUCACUUUCGUGUCCACACGGUUACCAAUCCGCAGGUUGUAGUGUUGUUUCCAGUGUUGCUUUACUUAGUAAAAGUAAAUAGUAAACCUUACUUAGUAAGCCGUUUUUGCCUUUUACUAAUUAAGUAAAAAGCAAGUAAGCAGCAAAACGGAAAAGUAAAAGUAAAGUAAAAGUAAGAGCAGUCGAGGCUUGAGAAGUAAAUAGUAAGUAAAAGUAAGAGGCGCGAAACGGGAAUAGUUUAAUUAGUAAAACAGCCUUUUUACUAAGCGUCCGCAACAGAUAAAAGUGACGGGCAUCAUCAGAAUUCUGCUGAACAUGCUUUUUUCCAUAGCAGUAACGUUUGGCAGUACAAGUUUUCUGAAUCGCUAAAAUUUCGCUGCACUGAAGACGCUUCAACCGCUUAGGAGGGCGAGUUACGUGACCGCCAGGUCACGUAACUCGUAUUAGCUAGUGCUGCUUCGCUGCAGUACUUACCUUGGCACCGGAUACGGUGUAAUGACUUUUGCUAAUUUUUGUCAAAAAAUACGUACUGUAAUUUUACACAGAACCAAAUCGCUUCAUUGAAACAAAUUUCUGAGCACAAAUUAAAAUUAAUCGGUGUGCACACUGUCCCAAAUUACAAGCAGUUAUUUUUGUUUUAGAUACGUAAUAUGCUUAAGAAAUGCAUACUUUAUGGCAAAAUUGAAAAAUUUUGUUGCGUAUGGCGAUUUAUCGCAAAAGCCGAAUAGUAAAUACUAUUUUACUAGUAAUUACUAAGUUAGUAAAAGUAAGUAGGGUUACGAUAAAAAAAGUAAAAAGUAAGUAAAAGUAAGGAAGAAAGAUUAUGAAAAGUAAAUAGUAAAGUAAAUAGUAAAGUCAACAGCCAGACGAAAAGUAAAAAGUAAGUAAGGUUUUGGGGCAAUAGUAAAUACAACACUGGUUGUUUCAUAUCCCGGAAGUUCACGAGUCGAGACAGAUAAUCCGGCACAGGAAAUUUGCUUUUGUUCCAGAUUUUAAAAAGCCACACCGCUUCGCUCUGCUUCCAUCGAUGGAGGAUGGGAGUGAUUCCCAGUUCCUGGUACAAGGUCCGCUUGAAAGGACCUUUGUAUCCAGUCAUGGCUCGCAAUGCUUUGCGCUGUAGUUUGCGCUGUAGUCUUCUUUCAGUGCCGCAGACGCCGGCGCCCACACAGUCGAACAAUAGUCCAAAUGUGACUGGACGCAGGCAUGAUAAAGGCUCCGAAGUUGAGACCGACCCAGCCCUUCCUUUGCCCGAUUAAUCAUGGAUAUCCCGUAGUUUGCAUUCUUCUCGACUCUCUCGAAGUGCUUGCUCCAUUUAAGGUGCUGCUCAAUGUCUACUCCAAGAUGGAAGGAAGCCAGAAAAAAUUAAUAACGGACAAAAAAUGGUGACAACGAAGCGAACGCUCCAGAUGACGAAGCAACUACUUCCGCUGGACUUGAGAGCGUGAAUGACACUCUUCAGCGGAAACGUCGCUUUUCGGCUCGCCAGUCAUGUUCUGAAGGUCAUGAAAUGCAGGACAAUAACGAGCCACCGAAACGACGGUCAGGUGAACAGAGUGAUCAUGACGAUGAUGGCGGGUCAUCAUCUCCGGCUUCGCAGUCGUCUGGGUCUUCUACGAGAAUGGCUAGUCCUGUGGGAAAUGGAGCUAGCGAAGCAAAGCAGAUUGUACAGCAGAUUAAUGCUGUCUCGGAACCGAUGUUUCUUCGCUUCACCAACUGCGACGACGGCUCCUCUCGGGAUUACGAGCCGUUCGGAAUCCGCAGAGCGAUAACAGCGCCCGCAGUACAGCUACUCAAGCGGCUAAUGGGCAAGUGCCAAACGAGAGCAGCCCGAAUAACGAGAACGAUUGUUCGCCAUCUGAUGUUCCCUUUAUUUCGCCGGUGUCGUUAAUGGAGCAAUAUACAGUGGACGCUCGCAGGCCCUCUCAUACCCAAAAAAUUUUCAACGCUUUUUGAAUUUUGAUCGUCCGCUUGAAUACCUGAAAAACUAAAUGUGGUGCACCGCUCGCUGAAAACAUGCGUGCUUCGUUACCUAUGUAUAGUAUUGUGUAAGGCUCUUUUUGUUCAUUCGCUUUUGCGAUGCGUUUGAUAUGUUGGAGUGUGAUACAAUUAAGCUGCAGUAAAGCUGGUAUGCUUUCGUAUUCCCUGUAGGUGUUUCGGCGAUAAUGAUGGAUCCGUAUGCU